AGCCCAAGCGGCCGGAGUUAGACGCGCUAGGCAGUCGGCGCGGGAAAGCCGCUGCCUCUCCGGGGUAGCUUUAGCCCGGGGAUGGGUUGCAAAAUCGGCCCCAAGUUCGCGGGACCGCCGCUUUCCAGCAUCCUCUGGCCCCUAGGAGGCCGGGCCGGACCUCGCCAGGCUUGCUCCUUUGCUAGGGGAAGCCAGCUGCCAUGAUAUGAGCUGCUCUACACAGAAGCCCAUGUGGCAAGAAAAUGAUUUCUCCCUGCAACAGCCAGCCAGAACCUGAGGCUUGGAAUAAAUCCUCAGUGAAAUCUUAA